GAUACAUUGCUCGAUGAAACAUACGAGUAUAUGAAGAAGCUUGAACGCAACUUUCAGAUUAUGAAAAUAAUCUCAAACAACUCAUCCAAGGAACAUAUGUUGCCUCCAUCUUUAGUGCAUCAUUUAUUGUCCAUGCCAAGUUCAUCAGAAUCCCUUUCGACAAUUACGAAUUCAUUGAAGCCGGACUCAAACUCAGACUCAGACUCAAACUCAUACUCAGAUGUGGACUCAGACUCAGAUGUGAACUCAGACUCAGAUGUGAACUCAGACUCAGAUGUGGACGUGGACGAAAAUGUUUAAUCAGGUUUGCUGAUUGAGUCAAGAAUAUUUUCAUGCUCUCAUGG